AUGUUUUACUAUGGUCUAGAUUUCCAUGGUCUAGCCCCGGAUUCCUUCCUCCACAUCUCAGUGUUCAUCAUUGUGUGCGAGGCUCUACUCCGCAUCCCGCCACACUUCGGCCUAUGGCUCAAAAUCUUCAACGUGAAGCCGAAGGUGGUCGACGGGCAACAUGCAGACUGCGGUGGGGCUAUGAUAAGCAAACUGACAAAUGCCACAUGGACCAAGGGUGCCUUUGUCGAGACCGUUAAGGUUUUGCAGCAGCAGUGGUUCUACAUCACCGAGCCGCGCCGCGCCAACUGGGUGGCAAUUCUGGAGUUCAGAUCCGGACCCCCCAUGAGGCUCACUUCAUGGACCGCUAAUGGCCUCGACUGGGGGUCCCAGAAGGAGGUGCAGACGCUGCAAACGUGCAUCACCAACAUGCUAGGCAAGAAUGUUGGUCUCACUAAUGUGGUGGAGAUGAUGCUCUUCCAUUGCAUCCUCCCCUGCCAACGCCGGGCUUCCCCCAUGUGGGAAUUCAAUCGGGAGGAGCCACGGACCUUGAAGCACUUCCUCGGCACAACGCAUGAAGGAAUAUAG
rnacentral:rRNA from 1 species